rnacentral:rRNA from 1 species
GACGAACGCUGGCGGCGUGCCUAAUACAUGCAAGUCGAGCGCAGGAAACUGACGGAACUCUUCGGAGGGAAGGCAGUGGAAAGAGCGGCGGACGGGUGAGUAACACGUAAGGAACCUGCCUCAAGGAUUGGGAUAACUCCGAGAAAUCGGAGCUAAUACCGGAUAGUUCAUCGGACCGCAUGGUCCGCUGAUGAAAGGCGCUUCGGCGUCACCUUGAGAUGGCCUUGCGGUGCAUUAGCUAGUUGGUGGGGUAACGGCCCACCAAGGCGACGAUGGAUAGCCGACCUGAGAGGGUGAUCGGCCACACUGAGACUGAGACACGGCCCAGACUCCUACGGGAGGCAGCAGUAGGGAAUCUUCCACAAUGGACGAAAGUCUGAUGGAGCAACGCCGCGUGAGUGAUGAAGGUUUUCGGAUCGUAAAACUCUGUUGUAAGGGAAGAACACGUACGAGAGGGAAUGCUCGUACCUUGACGGUACCUUACGAGAAAGCCACGGCUAACUACGUGCCAGCCGCCGCAGUAAAAC